rnacentral:rRNA from 1 species
CCUACGGGAGGCAGCAGUGAGGAAUAUUGGUCAAUGGCCGGAAGGCUGAACCAGCCAAGCCGCGUGAAGGACGAAGGUGCCAAGCAUUGUAAACUUCUUUUGUCAAGGGACAAAAUCAGGCUCGAGAGCCUGACCGAGGGUACUUGAAGAAAAAGCAUCGGCUAACUCGGUGCCAGCAGCCGCGGUAAUACGGAGGAUCCGAGCGUUAUCAGGAUUUAUUGGGUUUAAAGGGUGCGUAGGCGGACAGUUAAGUCUGCGGUAAAAGCCCGGGGUUAAACCCCGGCGAGCCGUUGAAGCUGGCUGUCUUGAGAAGUCGAGAGGUAGGUGGAAUGCGCAGUGUAGCGGUGAAAUGCGUAGAGAUUGCGCAGAACUCCGAUUGCGAAGGCAGCAUACCGGCGGCGAUCUGACGCUGAGGCACGAAAGCGUGGGUAUCGAACAGGAUUAGAUACCCCUGUAGUC